rnacentral:rRNA from 1 species
CCUACGGGAGACAGCAGUGAGGAAUAUUGGUCAAUGGGCGCGAGCCUGAACCAGCCAAGUAGCGUGAAGGAUGACUGCCCUACGGGUUGUAAACUUCUUUUAUAAAGGAAUAAAGUGAGGCACGUGUGCCUUUUUGUAUGUACUUUAUGAAUAAGGAUCGGCUAACUCCGUGCCAGCCGCCGCGGUAAUACGGAGGUACCGAGCGUUAUCCGGAUUUAUUUGGGUUAACGGGAGCGCAGGUGGGUUGUUAAGUCAGUUGUGAAAGUUUGCGGCUCAACCGUAAAAUUGCAAUUGAUACGGGCAGCCUUGAUUUCAGUUGAGGUAGGCGUAAUUC